AGAGUUUGAUCAUGGCUCAGGACGAACGCUGGCGGCGUGCUUAACACAUGCAAGUCAAGGGGGCCCGCAAGGGCAACCGGCGAACGGGUGCGUAACACGUGAGCGACCUGCCUGAGUGCGGGGGAUAGCCGGCCCAACGGCCGGGUAAUACCGCAUACGCUUCUUGAGAGGCAUCUCUUGGGAAGGAAACUUUCGAGGCACUCAGAGGGGCUCGCGGCCUAUCAGCUAGUUGGCGGGGUCAUGGCCCACCAAGGCGACGACGGGUAGCUGGUCUGAGAGGAUGGCCAGCCACAUUGGGACUGAGAAACGGCCCAGACUCCUACGGGAGGCAGCAGUGGGGAAUCUUGCGCAAUGGCCGAAAGGCUGACGCAGCGACGCCGCGUGUGGGAGGAAGCUCUUCGGGGUGUAAACCACUGUUGCCCGGGACGAACAUGGUCUUUCGAGGCCACUGACGGUACCGGGUGAGGAAGCACCGGCUAACUCUGUGCCAGCAGCCGCGGUAAUACAGAGGGUGCGAGCGUUGUCCGGAAUCACUGGGCGUAAAGGGCGCGUAGGCGGCUCGGUAAGCGUGCGGUGAAAGCCCGGGGCUCAACCCCGGGUCGGCCGUGCGAACUGGCGAGCUGGAGCACUGUAGAGGCAGGUGGAAUUCCGGGUGUAGCGGUGGAAUGCAGAGAUCCGGAAGAACACCGGUGGCGAAGGCGGCCUGCUGGGCAGUNNCUGACGCUGAGGCGCGACAGCGUGGGGAGCAAACAGGAUUAGAUACCCUAGUAGUCC
rnacentral:rRNA from 1 species